GUAGAAUUGAAACAGAUGUCAUCAGAAACACGGUGGAAGUUAACGCCUAGGAGUACUAAGACCGAGGAAAUACCGUGUUAGUUGGUAAACAACAUUAUAAAUUUUAGUGUAAUUGCUCCCAGGACGCAAACCGCAAUCUUAUUCACGUAUGUAAAUUGUAGCUAUCUUGUAGCUUAACUGGUCCUUAAGGAAUUAUCGAUCAUUUGAGUAAGGAAAUCCCAGACUUUGUGUCGGUGGUAAAUUUGCAAUAAAAUGUAAAUGGAGCUUCAGGGUUCGGCACGAAGACUAGAAUCAUAGAAAUCGUUAAGAGACAUGCAGGGG